GAUGAAGAACGCAGCGAAAUGCGAUAAGUAAUGCGAAUUGCAGAAUUCAGUGAAUCAUCGAAUCUUUGAACGCACAUUGAGCCCGCCAGUAUUCUGGCGGGCAUGCCUGUCUGAGCGUCGUUUCGACCCUCGCGCCCGGCUUCUGUCGGGGGCGGUGUUGGGGAUCGGCCACACCCUUCAGUGGGAGGCCGGCCCCUAAAUUCAGUGGCGACCACGCUGUAGCCUCCCCUGCGUAGUACUAAAACCACCUCGCAGGCGGAGAGCGGUGCGGCCCGCCGUAAAACCCCCCAACUUUUACAAGGUCGACCUCAGAUCAGGUAGGAAUACCCGCUGAACUUAAGCAUAUCAAUAAGCGGAGGA
rnacentral:misc_RNA from 1 species